rnacentral:rRNA from 1 species
AUUGAACGCUGGCGGUAGGCCUAACACAUGCAAGUCGAACGCGAAAGUCCUUCGGGAUGAGUAGAGUGGCGGACGGGUGAGUAACGCGUAGGAAUCUGUCCUGUAGUGGGGGAUAACGUUUCGAAAGGAACGCUAAUACCGCAUACGCCCUACGGGGGAAAGCGGGGGAUCUUCGGACCUCGUGCUAUAGGAGGAGCCUGCGUCGGAUUAGCUAGUUGGUGAGGUAAAGGCUCACCAAGGCGACGAUCCGUAGCUGGUCUGAGAGGAUGAUCAACCACACCGGAACGGGGACACGGUCCGGACUCCUACGGGAGGCAGCAGUGGGGAAUAUUGCGCAAUGGGCGAAAGCCUGACGCAGCCAUACCGCGUGUGUGAAGAAGGCCUUCGGGUUGUAAAGCACUUUCAGUGGGGAGGAAAAGCUGGUGGCUAAUAUCCAUCGGCCGUGACGCUACCCACAGAAGAAGCACCGGCUAAUUCCGUGCCAGCAGCCGCCGUAAUAC